UGGGGAAUAUUGCACAAUGGGCGCAAGCCUGAUGCAGCCAUGCCGCGUGUGUGAAGAAGGCCUUCGGGUUGUAAAGCACUUUCAGCGGGGAGGAAGGCGAUAAGGUUAAUAACCUCAUCGAUUGACGUUACCCGCAGAAGAAGCACCGGCUAACUCCGUGCCAGCAGCCGCGGUAAUACGGAGGGUGCAAGCGUUAAUCGGAAUUACUGGGCGUAAAGCGCACGCAGGCGGUCUGUCAAGUCUGAUGUGAAAGCCCCCGGCUCAACCGGGGAGGGUCAUUGGAAACUGGGAGACUUGAGUGCAGAAGAGGAGAGUGGAAUUCCAUGUGUAGCGGUGAAAUGCGUAGAUAUAUGGAGGAACACCAGUGGCGAAGGCGGCUCUCUGGUCUGUAACUGACGCUGAGGCUCGAAAGCGUGGGGAGCAAACAGG
rnacentral:rRNA from 1 species